ACAAUAACAUUCGGACCGUCGGUCCACCGAGCAAUAUCACCCGCUCUGUAGGAGAUCUUCUCUUUAUCGUAUACC
rnacentral:pre_miRNA from 1 species